AGUAUGGUGCAGAUCUGUGUGUGUAUAGCACAACUGUGGUACGCUGAAAAGUUUCUCUGAAUGUACAUCUCAUCCACAUUUGAAGAGAUCAUGGAGGCAACAUAUGGUUCUAUCAGGCCAUGGCUUGUAACACUCACAGCUACAGUGAAAUAUGCAGUGCCCUUGGGCAGGAAAACUCCAACACUGCAACAGGAACAUUGCUAACUAGGGCCUCCAGCUCCUGGGUCUUCUUGAACAGCGCCUCCCGGUGGUGGAGCAGCAGAGAAUCUGUUUCCUACAUGAAAGACCAUCUGGGUCAUGCUCCGUUUGGAGUAGAAAACCAUGUCACAGAAGUUUUAUCAUGUUUCACAGUAGUGCUACAUAUACACAUUUGAUAUGGCAUAUUUAAUAUAAAAACAUUUUAAAAAGGUAUAACCUGAAAUACAAAUUAGUUAAAUUUUUACUAUAUACAUCAUUAACAUUGUACUAUAUUCAAAAACUGUCAUUUAUUCAAUUAUAUUUGUCACUGAGAUUUUGGUCGCUAGUGAUAUUAGGACUCAUCUUUCAUUGUAGUUCUGGUGAUUGCAUACUUGCUCAUUUUAUUUAGAAAUUUAUGGAACAUUUUAUUUCUCAGAUGGCACAUAACUUCUACAAGUCACUGAUUUUAUGUGCUGUAAGGGCUGGGUAAUUGAUUUUUUGUAAGAGUAAUUCCACAUUGUUGUGGGUUGGACCGGGGAAGCAGCAGCCAGAGCUGAGGAAUCUGGUAGACUAGGGAUUUAUUUAGCAAACAACAUGGACCAUGAGGCAAAGCAAAAGAUGCACGUUAAUGACCGAACUGGGGAAAACAUACCUAACACAGACUUAAAGACAUUGGAGUAAUCAACAACAAGAAGAAUCAGCUGGUAAACAUGGGGAUUCCACAUGAGGUAGCGAGGGGGCGUGGCACACAGGAGGAUCGGAUGAGCAGGGCAUGACACACAUAUCUUAUUAAUGGAAUUUGAAUAGUUUCACAAGAUUAUCAUACCUGCCAUAGGGCAGUCAUUUAAAAAUCUUACAUUUUAAAUCAGAAUGUCACUGGCAUUACUGAUGGUACAAUAUAACUAAUGUUAAUGUCAUGAAUGAUCAGAGUAAUUAAAAAGCUAAUUGAUAUGGAAGUUAGAUCUCUGUGUCAGUUCUGGCAUUUUGCAGGAUAAAUUGAUCCAUCACAGGUGUUACAAAGACAACAUAGUAAACGUUGAAACAGAAAUUUUCUUAUGUGCUCAUUUGGAAUUUGAUGCUUGCAACAUUGGUCCACGACAAUAAAAGACCGGAAAACCUGUGUAAUGCUAAAAUAAAAACUGAUGGAACAUGUCAGUACUAAUUAUGUUAAGUGGCAACAGGUCAUUAACAUGAUUUGGUAUAAAAAGGGCAAACCAGAGUUGCUGAGUCUAGCGAUGGGCAGAUGAAACCCCAAGAACAUGAGGCGUUGCUCUGAAUGUGUCGGGAAAAGCGUUGCUGUUUCGAUACAUUAAACAGCGACAUCUUGUGGAUUGAAAAUGUUAUAGCAGGCUGCCUAAAUUAAGAACGCCAUUUCAUUGAAU